AUUGAACGCUGGCGGCAGGCCUAACACAUGCCAGUCGAACGGUAACAGGAAGAAUCUUGCUUCUUUGCUGACGAGUGGCGGACGGGUGAGUAAUGUCUGGGAAACUGCCUGAUGGAGGGGGAUAACUACUGGAAACGGUAGCUAAUACCGCAUAACGUCGCAAGACCAAAGAGGGGGAGCUUCGGGCCUCUUGCCAUCGGCUGUGCCCAGAUGGGAUUAGCUAGUAGGUGGGGUAACGGCUCACCUAGGCGACGAUCCCUAGCUGGUCUGAGAGGAUGACCAGCCACACUGGAACUGAGACACGGUCCAGACUCCUACGGGAGGCAGCAGUGGGGAAUAUUGCACAAUGGGCGCAAGCCUGAUGCAGCCAUGCCGCGUGUAUGAAGAAGGCCUUCGGGUUGUAAAGUACUUUCAGCGGGGAGGAAGGGAGUAAAGUUAAUACCUUUGCUCAUUGACGUUACCCGCAGAAGAAGCACCGGCUAACUCCGUG
rnacentral:rRNA from 1 species